ACGGGGUGCAGCAGGCGCGAAAACUUCACAAUGUGCGAAAGCACGAUGAGGGAAUCCCAAGUGCUUGCACGUAAGUGCAAGCUGUUUCUAUGUCUAAAACACAUAGAGAGUAAGGGCUGGGUAAGACGGGUGCCAGCCGCCGCGGUAAUACCUGCAGCUCAAGUGGUGGCCGCUAUUAUUGGGCCUAAAACGUCCGUAGCCGGUUUAAUAAAUGCCUGGGUAAAUUGUAUAGCUUAACUAUACGAAUUCCGGGUAGACUGAUAAACUUGAGACCGGGGGAAGUUAGAGGUACUCCUGGGGUAGAGGUGAAAUUCUGUAAUCCUAGGGGGACCACCGGUGGCGAAGGCGUCUGACUAAAACGGGUCUGACGGUGAGGGACGAAGCCCUGGGGCGCAAACGGGAUUAGAUACCCCGGUAGUCCAGGGUGUAAACGCUGCUUGCUUGAUGUUAGUCGGGCUUCGAGCCCGAUUAGUGUCGGAGAGAAGUUGUUAAGCAAGCUGCCUGGGAAGUACGGCCGCAAGACUGAAACUUAAAGGAAUUGGCGGGGGAGCACA
rnacentral:rRNA from 1 species